CCGGUGGGGCGGCUGCCCGUUGCUCCUCCGCAGAGUUGGGCAGCCGGCGGGUCGAGCAGCGUCUCCUCCACCGAGCCGCUCCUGCCCCGGGGAAGGGCGGGGGAGACGGCAGCGGCCCGGGAGAGCUAGCCCCCGGCGGGCUCCGCCGCCCCUCGCCGCAGGGCAGCCCGGCUGGCGCUGACCGGGGCUCGGAGCGCAGCAUCCCCUGUCUCUGUCGGGCCUUGAACAGCACGCGUUAGUCUGCGCGUCUCUUAAGCCAAAGCUGUGGUCUGUGCCAAGCGGUCGUAAAAGUACGCGUGACUGCUGAUUCUUCAGGCAGCUCAUCUCAAAGUAUACCUUGAAGAAGCUUGCCAAUAGCAGAAGAAAAUGUCCCAUAAAAGCUCUAAGGAAAUCAGGAAAGUAAACAUUUCUAGCUCCUUGGAGUCUGAAGAUAUUAGCUUAGAAACCACAAUACCAACCGAUGAUGUUUCUUCCUCUGAGGAGAGAGAAGGUACUGUUAAAAUCACAAAGCAGUUGAUUGAACGGAAGGAGUUGCUCCAUAAUCUUCAGCUGCUUAAAAUAGAAUUAUCUCAAAAAAACUUGAUGAUUGACAACUUGAAAGUAGAAUAUUUGACCAAGAUUGAAGAGCUAGAAGAGAAGCUUAAUGAUGCAAUCCAUCAAAAGCAGCUGUUGUCUUUACGACUGGAUACUCAGCUGGCAUUACAGCAAGAAGAUGCUAGAAAACACCAGGCUCUAAUGAAACAAGAAAUGGAAACUAUUUUAUUGAGACAGAAGCAACUGGAGGAAACAAAUCAUCAAUUAAGGGAGAGGGCUGGAGAUAUCCGUCAUAGCUUGCGAGACUUGGAAUUAGCAGACGACUGCUAUGAGAAGCUAAAGUCUCUUCCUGAAGAUCAGCUUUCUAUCCCUGAAUAUGUUUCUAUCCGAUUCUAUGAAGUAGUCCAUUCCUUAAGAAAAGAGCUAAGUGAUCUACAGAUGAAAAAGGAAAGCUUAACAGAAGAACUAAGUGGGUACAAAUCCCAGCUGAAGUGUCUGACAGAGAGCUAUGAAGAUGAGAGGAGGAAUCGGUCAGAGCUUGAGGUUAGAUGCCAGCGUUUAGCACUGGAACUGGCUGAUACCAAGCAGAUGAUUCAGCGAGGUGAUUACAGACAAGAGAACUAUGAUAAAGUAAAAUGUGAACGUGAUGUAUUUGAACAUGAAUUGUCAGAACUCAGAAGAAAAUAUGAAAUAUUAGAGGUGUCAAACAAAGCACAAGCUAAAGAAAGAAGUGACUUAUCAAAAGAGCUGGCAACCAUACAACAGUCUCUCAGUUUGUUGCAAAAAGAUAAAGAUUAUCUUAAUCGCCAGAACAUGGAGCUUAGUGUUCGCUGUGCACAUGAAGAAGAUCGUCUUGAAAGACUUCAGAUUCAGCUAGAGGAUGCCAAAAAAGCUAGGGAAGAAAUGUAUGAAAAAUAUGUUGCAUCCAGAGACCACUAUAAAACAGAAUAUGAAAAGAGACUGCAUGAAGAGUUGGAACAAAUAAGGUUGAAAACAAAUCAAGAAAUUGAGCAACUAAGAAGCACUUCAAAAGAGAUGUAUGAACGUGAAAACAGAAAUUUGAGAGAAGCGAGAGAUAAUGCUGUCGCUGAAAAAGAGCGAGCAGUUACUGCUGAAAAGGAUGCUUUAAGAAAAUAUGAUCAACUCUUAGAACAGUAUAGACAAAUGCAGCUUGGCACAGAAAGCAAAGUAGCUGAACUUCUUCACCAAACUAAGUUAAAGUCCUUUGAAAGUGAACAUGUUCAACUCAUGCAACAAGAAACAGCUAAAAAUCUUUCACAAUGCCAAAUGGAAUGUGAGAAGUAUCAGAGAAAGCUGGAGGUGCUUACUAAGGAAUUUUAUAGUCUUCAGUCUUCUAGUGAAACACGCAUUAUUGAACUUCAAACACAGAAUUCUGAGUUUCAAGCAAGGCUAGAUACUUAUGAAAAACUUGAAAAAGAGCUUGAUGAGAUAAUAUUACAGACAGCAGAAAUGGAAAAUGAAGUUGAAGCUGAAAGGGUUCUCUUCUCUUAUGGGUAUGGUGCUAAUGUUCCUACAACAGCCAAAAGACGACUGAAGCAAAGUGUUCACUUGGCAAGGAGGUUACUGCAGCUAGAAAAGCAAAACUCAUUGCUUGUAAAAGAUCUGGAACAUCAGAAGGAACAAGUAACACAGAUUUCACAAGAGCUUGACAGAGCAAAUUCUUUGUUGAAUCAAGUACAACAGCCAUACAAAUAUCUCAUUGAAACUGUGCAACAGAGAGAUUCUCAAAUAAGUCUACAGAAAGAACAUAUCGCACAACUUGAAAAAGAUGUCAGUCUUUUAAAUAAAGAAAAGACAGCUUUGCUGCGUGUCAAGAAUCAAAUGGCAGCAGAUUUGGAGAGACUUCUAAAUCACCGUGAGGAACUAGCCACAAUGAAACAGAUUCUAAUUAGUCUGCAUGGUAAACGCUAUGAACAAAAUUUACCUCAGUCUCAUAUUGAUGUAAAAAGUGCAACUGCAAAGAACACAUCAAACCCUUCAGUAAAACUGCUGCCAGAACAUGAGGAAGAAAAUGUGUUUACACCUAAGCCAACGUUAUUUACAAAUAAAGAGGCGCCUGUAUGGUACAAGAAGCUGCAGAAGAAAACAUCACCAUAGCAUUUUUCCAAAAUUAUUUAAACAGUUUGAAGCACAGCAGUACUUCCUCUGCUCCAGGUGGUGGAUAGGACUGAAUCUGAUCGUGCCUGUUGAGUGUUUGCAGAAGUUAACUUUGGGCAAGAUAAUGAUGGGAGCAUUUCUGAAGAAAGGAGUGACCUUCAGCGCUUCAGCUUUGGAAAGAAACGGCCAAGACAAAAUUCAGAGCUUCCAGUCUAUUAGCUUGAAGCACCUUCUACAGACUCCAUAAAGGUCCUAAGUGCUGGCAGGGAACCGAAUUUAAUAUAUGCCUCUUCCUUCUUCGUUUUUUGAUGUCUACUUUAAAAAAUACCAGUUUUCUAGUUUUUAUUUAUCCCAUCCUUAAGCACCUAACUUCAUGAAAUAAUAAGGAGCCUUGGACAAAUCUUAGAGAGUAUGGAUACCAUGAGUACUUCAACACUCAACUUCACAAAAGUUAGCGCUUACUUUUCAGUUUUAGGUUGCCAGUAAGAGUAGGUUUAAUCCAAUAAAGCAAAUUAUGGGGCCAUAGCAUUUGAUGGAGGGUGGAUAUUUAAAAAUAUAAUGCAUUAAUGUUUAACAAAGUAUUUGUAGAGGGGAAUUCCUUAAAUUGCGUAAUUCAGUGUGAACAGGCAACUUCUUUGGCUGUUUGGCUAUUACUUAGCUUUCCAUGAGCACUGUUUUCACUCCUGUAUUCAGAGUAGAGGGAAGCAGGCAUUGCAUCACACUGUCUCUCAGUGUGAUAUUUUUGAAAGAAACACUGACAUGAGACUAGUUUAACGGUACCACAGUGUUCCUGGGGUAAAGAACAUAGAGCUUUUUUUGUUCUUCUCAAAUUAGAUACCAGGAAAGCUUAUUGCCGCUGCUUCAUACUAUAAAUAACGUCACCUGGAUUGGAAGUGCUGCAAUGGAUCAUUGCAAAAUGCUUCUGCUGAUAGAACACAGUGGACCAAGCUGGUCUAACCUACUGUGAUUAAUAAUUAUCUCAUAGGUGAAAUUCACUAUGUUCAAAUGAUUAUUUUAAUGUAGGAUUUAAAAUAACAGGGAUGGAUGCAGAUGCGGUAUUGAUGAAAGACAGUUUGUGCAAUUGCAACCUGCUCUAUUCACAUGCUCUGGCAAUGGUAACAUAAAGCAAAAGGAAAAGAGUUAACAUCCUCUUUGUCCCUUCUACUGUUACUUCUUUCCUUUUUCAGUGAAGUAAUAUCUGAAUACAAAACUUAGAAUUUGAAAAACUGUAGUGCUGCAUGGUAAAACACUUUAAGCCAUAUAGAACAAGAUGUGAUUUUUAUCCUGGUCCUGCCAAAAUAUAUGUUUUAAUAUUAGUUUGUUUCUCCGGUGCAGUAAAAUACAGAUUUUUUUUUUCCACAGGUUAUAUGCAGUUAUGUAGUAUCUUACGGCAAUUUGUACCCAAUACUGUGUGCGAGACUUACAAAUCAUUAGGACUUACUCUUGAAUUGCACAGAAGCAAGAUUUUCUAAUCACUGAAAAAAGCUUUGUAUUUUGUUACUCUACAAAGUUAUCAAUAUGCACUCUAGAGAGAAAGAAGCCUUGUUUUGUAAAAAGAAUGAAUCAACUUUUCCUCUCCUUUAUCUUAUUUAUAUCUUUCAAGCAGCACAGGGAUUAAGACAUAUUGUUAAAGUCUUGCCUCAUCCAACUUGCCACAUUAGUUACUAGUUCAUUCCUAAGUGGGCUUCAUAGCUUAACUAAGCAUGUUAGGAACCGGUCAGGUAGACGCAUUUGAAAUGGGCUAUACAUUAAUGAACUGCAGUUUUCCAUGCCAUAACGCAAUAGACCAAGCUUUCAUUAAGUCACCCAGCCACAAGAAUACUUAUGGGUCAAAUGUGAACAUUCUAACACAUAAAUAUUUUUGUCUAGAGCUGCUCUAGUAAAAAAAAAUAUUAACAAAAUAUCAUUAAAAUGGAGAAAGGUUUUUUUAUUGGUGUCUUGUUCUGAAAGUAAACAUUUCUUUUUACUUAUUUUCUUUUUUAAUACUUAAAAAAGCAUUUUCAAAAAGAAAUCAUGAAAAAAUGAACUUAAAAAAAAUUAUUAGUGUAUUACAAGUGGAAACUAGCUAUCCCGGUUGCAACAGAUGACUGCAAUUUAAAUCUCUCUUUUUAGAAAAUAGUAACCUUAAUUACCUGAAUAAAUGAAUAUCCUUAA